rnacentral:rRNA from 1 species
UACGUAGGGUGCAAGCGUUGUCCGGAAUUAUUGGGCGUAAAGAGCUCGUAGGCGGCUUGGCAAGUGGAUGGUGAAAUCCCUCGGCUUAACCGAGGAACUGCCGUCCAAACUGCUUUGCUUGAGGCCGGGAGAGGCGAGUGGAAUUCCCAGUGUAGCGGUGAAAUGCGCAGAUAUCAGGAAGAACACCAAUGGCAAAGGCAGCUCUCUGGGACGGUACUGACGCUGAGACGCGAAAGCGUGGGGAGCGAACAGG